CCAUCGUCUCUCGCAGGGGUUUUACGGAUGUUCGCCAGCAGCACUCGGCUGGUCUAUUUUGUAUAGCGAACCACUCCCAGCAUUUGACACAAACAUUUUUCGUAUUUUUUCGCUUCGAUUGCAGUUGAAAAAGGGGAAAGUGAUUUCCUGAUACCCUCUGUUGUUUGUGCAACUAUUUACGGGUAAAGGGUGACGUUUUUUCGACGGAAAACAACUUCUUUUGGGUGAAAUAAUACGCGGUUCCCGAAGAGCAAGGAGAGAUCAAAGUGUUACGAGAUUUCAGCAUCUUUUACACUCGAUCUAACUGCUUGUUGGCGACAUGAGUGGCGAUAUAGAAAGGCUUCGGCAAGAAGCUGAGACGCUGAGGACAGAGAUAAGGGUAUGUAGACAUAUAUUAUACGUUUUUUGCUUUUAAUUCGAGACGUUUCGUUUGCAGAAUCGAACCUUUUGGCGUAUAUUGUGUCUCGUCUCGUGAACAACAACAAAAACGUUCCUGAUUUUUUCACGGUUGCUCUCCUGUUUAUUGAGCUUACAGCUAGUUUUCCCGUGUUAUUUUGAGCUCGUUUAUGUACGAACUGUGUUCUAAUGGG